UCCUAUUAUCUAAAGUUUGUCAAAAAGUGAUGGGUUUUGGUCCAUCUCAUUCAAGAUCUGCUAUUGGAAUUUUUUUGGGCCCUUUUGGCCCAUUUUCGCCUGAACCUGCUGGAAAAAAAAAUUGGGCUUUGGCCCCUCUUUGCCUUUGAAAACCUGUAUAUGCACCAAGUGUAUAUUUUUGUAUAUGGGUUGUAUUUAAGGUGU
rnacentral:lncRNA from 1 species